CAGUCGCCACGGGAAUACGAAGGGGGCUAGCGUUGCUCGGAAUGACUGGGCGUAAAGGGCGCGUAGGCGGCGAUCAAAGUCAGGCGUGAAAUUCCUGGGCUCAACCUGGGGGCUGCGCUUGAUACUUGGUUGCUUGAGUGGGGAAGAGGGUCGUGGAAUUCCCAGUGUAGAGGUGAAAUUCGUAGAUAUUGGGAAGAACACCGGUGGCGAAGGCGGCGACCUGGUCCUUGACUGACGCUGAGGCGCGAAAGCGUGGGGAGCAAACAGGAUUAGAUACCCCUGUAGUCCCUGUCUCUUAUAC
rnacentral:rRNA from 1 species